ACUAACUUGUUGGGUUGGUAAAAACGACCAGCAGAGAAAAGAAGCCUUAUGAGAAGACAAUGAACUUAAAGAUUAUAGACAAACGACUUUGAAAAGUUGUAUGUGCUUCUGGAGAUGUGCAGAUAUUAAGACUUUGAGUAGAUUCAAGUGUAGGACACUUCUUUGACAGGUUCAUAUUCUCACUGAUGCAAAGGAUCAGGUAUAUGCUUAUCUCGACUUCUCUGUUAUGAGUUGAUUUUUUACAGAUGUACGCACCAUAUAUAAUUAAAAUUGUUUAAUUAUGUCAGUUGUCUUACUUUCAUUACUAUCCUUUAUUUAUCAUGCAAAUUCUAGAAAAUUAUUGCUAA